rnacentral:rRNA from 1 species
CACGUAGGGGGCAAGCGUUGUCCGGAAUCAUUGGGCGUAAAGAGCUCGUAGGCGGCUCAGUAAGUCGGGUGUGAAACCUCCAGGCUCAACCUGGAGACGCCACCUGAUACUGCUGUGACUUGAGUCCGGUAGGGGAGCGUGGAAUUCCUGGUGUAGCGGUGAAAUGCGCAGAUAUCAGGAGGAACACCAGUGGCGAAGGCGGCGCUCUGGGCCGGAACUGACGCUGAGGAGCGAAAGCGUGGGGAGCAAACAGG